rnacentral:lncRNA from 1 species
GCGGAAAUCACAACUUUGAAAGAAAUAUCUUCCUAACAUCAAGCUCACUAGUCUAAUGAUGAGGAUUAGUGAUAGCAAUGUCAGGGUUAGGCUCAUUUUCAUGCCAUUACAUUGAAUUUUUACCUAUGGCAUACUCAGAUGGAAAUUAUAUAACAGACUGCCAUAAGCGUGUAUGAGACUCGAUUUGGAUGGCCUUCUAGUUUCUGAAUCUAUUAGCAUUUAGCAUGUGGCAAACGUUUAAUAUAAUCCUAAUGCAACAUAACUAGUGAUCUGGUGGAUGUUCUGAUGUUGAGAAGUUAGCCCCAUAGGUGACCACACUAUGGUGAAGAUUAAAGGUUAUUUUUAGCCACAUGCUAAAUAGGAAAGUUACAUGAAAGUUAUAAACUAUUUUGCAUAUCACUGAGUGAAAUGAGUAUUUGAUCCAACCCAUCCGGAGUUCUGGCUGCCACAGACUGGAAUCAAUCAGUCAGUCAAUUACAGAUCCUCCUGAUCUCAGCUCCUUUUGGUAUAAAGCACACCUGCCCACAUAGUUUCUUCCAUUCCAGCUUCUCCACCACCACAGACAACACCGAAGAGCUGUCAAAGGAUGUCAGGGACAAGACUGUAGACCUGCACAAGGCUGGAAUGGAGUGGAAGAAGCUUGGUGAGACAAGCUUCUUCCACUCCAGAAGAUUAUUCUUCUGGAGUGGAAGAAGCAGAAGAAACAUUAAGCCUUUGGUCUUGGUGUACCACACUCAUUACAGAAUCUAAAAUUGCUUUUACACCAGAUGUGUAAACAUGAGUUUUGAUUAUAUUAAUUUGGAACUUUUAACUGCCUUCCAACCAAUCUCUGCUCCUACGCAAUCUCCUGCCUCAUCAGUUGGUGAUCCAAUUCUGGUCCUGACGUGCCAAAAUACCUCAAGCUCACCCUACCAGACCAGGAAUCUAGAGAAUCAUUGUUCAGCAUUACCCUCUACAUCAACACACAGUCAAUCUGUAAACUACGAUAACUACCUUUUAAUCAUGACUCCACUAUCUGACAUGUCUUCUGAUGAUGAGGAACUUAACCAGGCUAUACUAGCAAGCCUGCAGAGCAAAAGGACUUCAAGUUGUUUGGUAUCAGCAAAAGAUAUUUUGGAGGAACUUUCUGCAAAAAUAAACCAACAGAAGAAAUGUAAGUUCAACAUUAAUAGAUCAACAGUCCUGGAUGGAGCAAUUAGAGGUUUUAAAUGA